rnacentral:tRNA from 1 species
GCCGCUAUGGUGAAAUGGUAGAUGGCUCUUAUAAACAUCUGACGCUGCUCUUAGGAAGCAGUGCGAGAGCAUCUCGGUUCGAGUCCGAGUAGCGGCA